rnacentral:rRNA from 1 species
UACGAAGGGAGCUAGCGUUGUUCGGAAUUACUGGGCGUAAAGCGCACGUAGGCGGAUUUGUAAGUCAGGGGUGAAAUCCCGGGGCUCAACCUCGGAACUGCCUUUGAUACUGCAAAUCUCGAGUCCGAUAGAGGUGGGUGGAAUUCCUAGUGUAGAGGUGAAAUUCGUAGAUAUUAGGAAGAACACCGGUGGCGAAGGCGGCCCGCUGGAUCGGUACUGACGCUGAGGUGCGAAAGCGUGGGGAGCAAACAGG